CUGGUUUGAGGUUUGAGGAUUGACCAAGUACAACUUGAUUUUUGAAGAUCGACAUGGACGUUGAAUUUGUACUUGAUUUGAAGUUUGAGGAUCGAAUUUGUACUUGUUGGUACCGUGAUUUUGUCCUGGUAUGUGACGUAUCUUGCCUCAAUUCCUUUUUACUAUGUUAGAUUCAUGAAGUACUGUGUUUUUUUUUGCGGGGAUGAGGCACUGUGUUUUGAUGACUGUUCGUACUAUGAUUUUGUCUUGGUACAUGAUGUACUCCUCUUUGAUUUUUUUCCAUGUUAGAUGAUUGGUACCGUGUUUCGAUGAUUGUUUGUACUGUGUUUUUUUUUGCGGGGAUGAGGUACUGUGUUUUGAUGACUGUCGUACUGUGAUUUUGUCUUGGUACAUGAUGUACUCCUCUUUGAUUUUUUUCCCAUGUUAGAUGAUUGGUACCGUGUUUCGAUGAUUGUUUGUACUGUGAUUUAGUACACGAUGUACUGUUAUGAAUUGAUGUACAAAGUCUUCAUAUGACAAAGUACUUAGAUUGUUUCUUCUUCCUUUUUCUAUCUCCAUUGAAAAUUGAGGAGGUACUUAUCAUGUAAUGUGACGUAAUUUAUCGUUGAUGAGGUACUUAUUAAUUGUAUGAGUUGAGAACUAUCAUGUACCUUGAUGUAUCUGUGAUGUAUCUUCAUGUACUUGUCAUAUACCUUGAUGUAUCUGUCAUGUGCAUGAGGUAUUUCAAAAACUGUUAAAAUGCAUGUGAUGUACCAUACGAUGUACUUGUAUCAUAAGUUCAUGUACAGGGGAUAUUUAAAACCUGAUAUGUACAGUUCAUAUAACCUAAUGUACUAAAUAUGUACUUAAAAAUAUUUCAUGUACCACAAUGUACUUAAAAGUGGGGAGAGAGAGAGAAAGAAAGAAAGAAAGAAAGAAAGAAAGAGAAAGUUAUCAGGUGGUAAUACUGUUAAUCCUGCACUCUAAUUUAAAGUGUCCGGAAUUAACUAAGAGAGAGAAAAGAAAGAAGGCCAAACAUGUGGCUAUGA
rnacentral:lncRNA from 1 species